UACGGAGGGCGCUAGCGUUGUUCGGAAUUACUGGGCGUAAAGCGCACGUAGGCGGCUUUGCAAGUUAGAGGUGAAAGCCUGGGGCUCAACUCCAGAACUGCCUUUAAAACUGCAUCGCUUGAAUCCAGGAGAGGAGAGUGGAAUUCCGAGUGUAGAGGUGAAAUUCGUAGAUAUUCGGAAGAACACCAGUGGCGAAGGCGGCUCACUGGACUGGUAUUGACGCUGAGGUGCGAAAGCGUGGGGAGCAAACAGG
rnacentral:rRNA from 1 species